GACGAACGCUGGCGGCGUGCUUAACACAUGCAAGUCGAACGGAGAUUCAGCAAUGGAUCUUAGUGGCGAACGGGUGAGUAACGCGUAGGCAAUCUGCCUUCUAGAUGGGGACAACAUCCCGAAAGGGGUGCUAAUACCGAAUGUUGUAGUGAGUCUGCAUGGACUAGCUACUAAAGGUGGCCUCUGAAUAUGCUACCGCUAGAAGAUGAGCCUGCGUCUGAUUAGCUAGUUGGAGGGGUAACGGCCCACCAAGGCAACGUUCAGUAGCCGGUCUGAGAGGAUGAACGGCCACACUGGGACUGAGACACGGCCCAGACUCCUACGGGAGGCAGCAGUGGGGAAUCUUCCGCAAUGGACGAAAGUCUGACGGAGCAACGCCGCGUGAGUGAAGAAGGUUUUCGGAUCGUAAAGCUCUUUCGUUAGGGACGAACGUGCUCUUUGUGAAUAAUGAGGAGUAAUGACGGUACCUAAAUAAGAAGCCACGGCUAACUACGUGCCAGCAGCCGCAGUAACAC
rnacentral:rRNA from 1 species